rnacentral:rRNA from 1 species
UAAUACGAAGGGGGUUAGCGUUGCUCGGAAUCACUGGGCGUAAAGCGCACGUAGGCGGGUUGCUAAGUCAGGGGUGAAAUCCUGGAGCUCAACUCCAGAACUGCCUUUGAUACUGGCGACCUUGAGUCCGGGAGAGGUGAGUGGAACUGCGAGUGUAGAGGUGAAAUUCGUAGAUAUUCGCAAGAACACCAGUGGCGAAGGCGGCUCACUGGCCCGGUACUGACGCUGAGGUGCGAAAGCGUGGGGAGCAAACAGG